AACCUGCCUUCAGGAUGGGGACAACAGACGGAAACGACUGCUAAUACCGAAUAAGUUCCAAGAGCCGCAUGGCCCAUGGAAGAAAAGGUGGCCUCUACCUGUAAGCUAUCGCCUGAAGAGGGGUUUGCGUCUGAUUAGCUGGUUGGAGGGGUAACGGCCCACCAAGGCGAUGAUCAGUAGCCGGUCUGAGAGAAUGAACGGCCACAUUGGGACUGAGACACGGCCCAGACUCCUACGGGAGGCAGCAUG
rnacentral:rRNA from 1 species